CGCGUAGGCGGCAGUGUAUGUCAGAUGUGAAAUACUCCGGCUCAACCAGAGAACAGCAUCUGAAACUGCACAGCUAGAGUACAGAAGAGGGAAACGGAAUUCCCGGUGUAGAGGUGAAAUUCGUAGAUAUCGGGAGGAACACCAGUGGCGAAGGCGGUUUCCUGGUCUGAUACUGACGCUGAGGCGCGAAAGCGUGGGGAGCAAACA
rnacentral:rRNA from 1 species